CUCGGCAAUAGUGGCACAUGUGUGUUCACAUAAUUUUUAUUAGAAUUUGGUACCUUUACCCACUCAUAUGCCUGCUGUAUUUUCUUUUCCUAUCUCAUUCACAUGAGAUAGCAUGUCACACAAAUGUAAACCAAAUGUAGUUGACAUGAAACUCCUGUGCCCCAAGAAGAGUUAAAACUGCUUGGGGUAUCUAGUCUUGCUGGAAGGAUAAUUUGAAGAGUGUGUGGGUCACUGAAAGCGGGAGAGAGAUGCCUGUUCAUUCUGCUGAAUGACUUCUCAUUAUGCUACUGGCCACAAGGUGUCCAUCUUUCAGUAGGAAGAAUGCAUAGCUUCUAGAGAGUGUGUCUGCAGCCACCCCCAGCUCAAGGGACUUUGAGAAGUUGUUUAAGGAUUGUGUAGGUGGCUUGAGACUCUAUCCAAAGGAUUAGGAAUGUGUGAUCUAUAAUAGUUGUUCAAUGACUAAGCUGCCAGCAUCACAAGGCCUGCAGAUGACUAAUAAUUAUUCUCAUUCUACAGUGUAUGGUUUGCAAAACAAAGCAAGCAAGGCCUCAGCUCUUUUGUCCUGUGACUCAUUCUUGUAAAAUGAGUACCCUGGGCUCCAGAGAACAUGCUGGGCUGUAGCUUGCUGAAGGAUGAGAAACACAUGAGCAGAGCUGAGUCAUUCCCACAGGACCCAGAAGCAGCCUGAACCAAUCAGUGGGCUGCGAGCCAUUUCCAAGCUAUUUGGGUGAUGAGCACAGAUGAGCAGAGCCAACCAGCCUAACAUCUUCGAUGCAUGAACAAUAAAGGCUUAUUGUUGCAUGA